AGCCUCGCGGGUUCGAAUCUCUCCCUGCGAGAUCUCGAGCACGUUCCAGCGUCUGCGGACUCAGUUUGCUAAGCUGCAAAGUGGGGGUGAGCGCGGCGCCUCCCGCUUGGCGCUGCGGCGCGGUCUCAGCGAGGCGCUGUUUGGAAGAGGCACCGGCGCCGGGUGCAGCCGAAGUCGGGGCUCGGACUUAACCCAUUGGAACUUUUUCCUUAUGGAUAGCGUGAGAAAUAAAAAGGAUAUAUGCUCACGGUGAUGAAAAGAGCCAGGAGAAGAGAUACCAUGGACCAGAACUUUCAAUGAAUUUCUGGAAGCUAAAAAGUGGACAGGAGCAAGGUGUUGAUGGAGCCGCUCAAGGGACCUGCGGCUUCUGAGCAGUCUGAGGGCUCUCUUUACAAAGCAGCUCGAUCCCACAGAACGUGGGAGAGGCUUGAUCUCAGAGAUGCCACCGUGUGCAAAGGAGGGUGGGAGGAACAUGUGGGGCCUAAAGCAAGCUGGCCGGAAAGCCACUGACUUCUGUCCCUCCCCCCCGUGCCUACACACAGAAUGCAAAGAGCAAUCAAAUAAUAAGAAGGGGCUCUGAGAAAUUAAACAAUGAAUGGCUCAAAGGAAAAAAGUUCAAUAGAAUUAAAAGAUAAAUUCAAGGAGAUCUCCCAGAACAUAAGAGCAAGGUAAAAGAGGCGGGAACAAGAAGAAAAUAAGAAUAAAGGAUUUAUUUAAGGAUUUCAGUAACUGACUGAUGGUAGUUCCAGAAAAUGUUAAUUUAAAGGGGGAGGUGGGGGAGG